CAAUGUAAUUUAUUCAGUGCAGCUUUUUCAUUUAGCUUCAUUAAACUGAUCAAACAUACAGCUCAGCACAGUGACAGGAGAAAAAACAUGUUAAAGACCUCAUGAAAACAAAUACAAGCAUUGACUUAUUUUAGCUGUGAAGUGAUGGAGGAUAUGACCAGCCACACAGAGAACACGGAAACAGCAUUUCUCAACAGUCUUAUUGUAUUUCAUUCAUGCAGUUAGUUGUUAUGAAGAAAAUGGGGUUUUAGUGCCUUGCUCAGGGACAUGCUGACAGACUGAACCUGUCUCAGAGUUAAAGAGUAUCAGUUGAUUUAUUUUGCUCCUUUUGUUCACUUUGUGUAUCUUCUCCUGUUUAAUCACCUGUUUCAUCUCUUCAUGAGGUCUUUAAGUCUUUUCUUCCUUUCACACUUUGUUUUCUGCUCUCUCCACAGAUGCUAUUUACAUUCUGAUAAUAUAGAUCUCAACAGUUCAGUUAAAGCAGCAUCUGUACAGUUUGAUGAGGGUCAGACUGGAGACAGAUGGUGGAAGGAGAUUUUCUGACUGUGCUCCAAAACUCUGGAACAACCUUCUGCUGGAAAUCAGGUCUCCAUCUGGACAUCCAGCCCUCUCUUCAUUGAACACAUCUCCAUGU